UUUGCAAUGUCCAAUGUACUUAAUUUCGCAAGCAAGGUAUGUCCUAAAAUAUUAAUGAGGAAUGCAGUAUUUCCGUGGCUAUGCAGCCCCAGCUGUGACCUGCAUAUUUUGCCAGCGCACGCAUGACCAUUGUCCACCGGUGGUAGUUUAUAAUUGACUAUUGAAAUAUAUUGUGUUCAACUAUAGAGCGAAAAAAAAAUUUCCCUAUUUGUUUUCGUUCAAACACAAUACAAGGAUGCAGAUACAUAGAACUAGCAAUCACAUUAUCUCCACCAUCAAAUGUAAAAUGUAUGUUCUAUUAUAAAGACUUAUGAAUAAAGUAUCAAGAACACGG